AUGACAUGGAUGGGAGAGCCUGG
rnacentral:piRNA from 1 species